CAACGUUGUUCGCAUGAACAACGCUUAAAAGAUGGCUUCUCGCUAUCACUUCUGGAUGGACCUGCGGUGCAUUAGCUUGUUGGUGGGGUAACGGCCUACCAAGGCGAUGAUGCAUAGCCGAGUUGAGAGACUGAUCGGCCACAAUGGGACUGAGACACGGCCCAUACUCCUACGGGAGGCAGCAGUAGGGAAUCUUCCACAAUGGGCGCAAGCCUGAUGGAGCAACACCGCGUGAGUGAAGAAGGGUUUCGGCUCGUAAAGCUCUGUUGUUAAAGAAGAACACGUAUGAGAGUAACUGUUCAUACGUUGACGGUAUUUAACCAGAAAGUCACGGCUAACUACGUGCCAGCAGCCGCGGUAAUACGUAGGUGGCAAGCGUUAUCCGGAUUUAUUGGGCGUAAAGAGAGUGCAGGCGGUUUUCUAAGUCUGAUGUGAAAGCCUUCGGCUUAACCGGAGAAGUGCAUCGGAAACUGGAUAACUUGAGUGCAGAAGAGGGUAGUGGAACUCCAUGUGUAGCGGUGGAAUGCGUAGAUAUAUGGAAGAACACCAGUGGCGAAGGCGGCUACCUGGUCUGCAACUGACGCUGAGACUCGAAAGCAUGGGUAGCGAACAGGAUUAGAUACCCUGGUAGUCCAUGCCGUAAACGAUGAGUGCUAGGUGUUGGAGGGUUUCCGCCCUUCAGUGCCGGAGCUAACGCAUUAAGCACUCCGCCUGGGGAGUACGACCGCAAGGUUGAAACUCAAAGGAAUUGACGGGGGCCCGCACAAGCGGUGGAGCAUGUGGUUUAAUUCGAAGCUACGCGAAGAACCUUACCAGGUCUUGACAUCUUGCGCCAACCCUAGAGAUAGGGCGUUUC
rnacentral:rRNA from 1 species